rnacentral:rRNA from 1 species
UACGUAGGGUGCAAGCGUUAAUCGGAAUUACUGGGCGUAAAGCGUGCGCAGGCGGUGAUGUAAGUCAGAUGUGAAAUCCCCGGGCUCAACCUGGGAACUGCAUUUGUGACUGCAUCGCUGGAGUGCGGCAGAGGGGGAUGGAAUUCCGCGUGUAGCAGUGAAAUGCGUAGAUAUGCGGAGGAACACCGAUGGCGAAGGCAAUCCCCUGGACCUGUACUGACGCUCAUGCACGAAAGCGUGGGGAGCAAACAGG